rnacentral:rRNA from 1 species
GGGGUAGCAAUACACCGGCGUACGGGUGCGUAACGCGUAUGGAACCUGCCCUUAUCUGGGGGAUAACUCGGGGAAACUCGAGCUAAUACCGCAUAAGAUAGUAAAGAGGCAUCUCUUAGCUAUUAAAGAUUUAUCGGAUAAGGAUGGCCAUGCGUAAGAUUAGAUAGUUGGCGAGGUAACGGCUCACCAAGUCUACGAUCUUUAGGGGCUCUGAGAGGAGAAUCCCCCACACUGGCACUGAGAUACGGGCCAGACUCCUACGGGAGGCAGCAGUAGGGAAUAUUGGGCAAUGGGCGGAAGCCUGACCCAGCCACGCCGCGUGCAGGAAGACGGCCCUCUGGGUUGUAAACUGCUUUUGAUUGGGAAGAAAGCAGCUCAUGCGUGAGAAUUUGACGGUACCAAUCGAAUAAGCCACGGCUAACUACGUGCCAGCAGCCGCGGUAAUACGUAGGUGGCGAGCGUUAUCCGGAUUUAUUGGGUUUAAAGGGAGCGUAGGCGGCUGAUUAAGUCAGCGGUGAAAGGUAGCAGCUUAACUGUUUUACAUGCCGUUGAUACUGGUUAGCUUGAGUUGACAGAGGGCAGAUAGAAUUCCUGGUGUAGCGGUGAAAUGCUUAGAUACCAGGAGGAAUACCGAUUGCGAAGGCAGUCUGCUGCAGUCACACUGACGCUAAGGCUCGAAGGUGCGGGGAUCAAACAGGAUUAGAUACCCUGGUAGUCCGCACAGUAAACGAUGAUUACUAGAUGUUGGCGUAAGCCAGUGUCCAAGGGAAACCGAUAAGUAAUCCACCUGGGGAGUACGCC